GUGAUCUUUUUCACAAGAGAACGUUGAGGUCGACACUGACAAUGUUUUAGACUGUUGUCUGUCAUGAAAUAACAAAGAAAACGUCUGUUAAUUCAGCAUGGCUCUUAGCAAAGUGACUAAAAUAUUCAUCGGAUGGGCAUUGAUAAUUUCAGGCGGUUUGGGCACCUUCGCUUUGGCUCGGGACAGAGUGUACCAAAACAGAGUGGAAAUCAUGAAAAGUAAGAAAAGAAUCAAAGCUGCCAUCGAUGCCGAUGUUGAAAAACGCAGAAUCGCAGAAGCAGAAGCAGAACAGCGACAACAAUCAUGAUGGAAUUUGGUGUCCACUGUCAAAACAUGACGUUGAACAAUGAACAGACGUGGACAAUGUGUGUGAAACUGUGUUGUUUUUAAAUGAAAAAAAAAAAGCGGAAGAGAAAAAAACAUGAUUUUAUUGUACCUUUACAUACCACACAUAACAUUUAUAUGUACGUGUGGUGUUUGAUACUUUUAUCAGCAUAGACGUGUGGGGGGGGGGGGGGCCUCCCGUCUUAAACACAUCCGUCAAGAUAUUCAGAGAAUGUGCCUAAUUAAAGACAGACGUGUUUGAAUCUUCUUUGGGUGUAAGCACGUGUCAAAUGGUUGAUUAAUAGGGAUGGGUUAGUAUAUAUGCAGGGUUUCUGCCAGAAAGAAAUUGCGCCAAAUUUUCUUCAUCAAAAUGCGCACCCACUUCCCAUUUUGGCUUAAUCCUACGGGACAUUCCAAAUUACAUAGCACCAUACCAUCCUCCGCCUGUUACCGGCUACGGUCGGACUGCUGGUGCUCCCUUGCACCUGCCAGUGCAGGCGGUCCCUCCUCCCACCCCCACCCUUUCCUGUCCUGGACAGAGGAGCCGGUCGAGGCCGGCACUUGUGCCCAGGAGAGGCGUGCGCUACAACAGCUAGCUCUGAAUGUGCACGUUAAACAAUUUGGUCUUUGUCAGAAAGAAAUUGUUGGGUAUGGCGCUAUGGAAUUGAAUGCAACCAUAAUCAACGGGAGGUGUGGAAGGGGGGUGGGUGGCUCCCCCAGAAAGAAAAUGUGUUAGGGUUAGGGGUAAGUCAUUAAUUUUGUCAAAAUCUGCAAAGAAAUUUGGGUAUGGCGCCAUAUCCGUGUUACCCUCUGGUAGAAACCCUGAUAUGGUCUUCUGCUACUAGCAAAAAUGGCAGUUUGUCAUAUUUUUAGGCGGGUGGCCCUAGGGGCUACUGUCACUAACCCCGUCAAAGUUCAGUGCUGUCUGGGAUCACCUGAGUAGCUGUUUUGGAACAACAUGUAACUUAUUGAAUCACUUGCUAUUCAUAUAAUAUAAUAAUAUGUAUGUUCCUCAUGUUCCUAGCCCUGUUGUUGUUUUUCUUCUUCUUUCUCUUACCAAAGGUAACUCUAGGUAACAGCUGGACUAAGAAAGUUAAUGUGCCAAGCUCAGGCGCGGAUCCAUGAGAAGGAUGUUGAGGGGUUGCCGAGGAUAGUACCCCGCAGUUUUCAAGUUUCCCGAAAAAUUCGGUGUUUAUUAAAUUAGUGCAGCGGAUUAAAACAAAAUGUAGGGCUUAGUAGGAAUGUAAUGUGGUAAAUUUGGUGUUUCUACAUACUGUAUGUUCCCUUGUUAAACACUGCAUUCCUUCCUACAAAAAUUCUGCAUCCUCGUCUGAAAGUUGAUCAUUUGUAGUCGUAGGGGUAAACGACUACAACAUAUUGCCAAACUCGAUGCUUACAAUUCCUAAAUUAGUCAAUCGGUGGGGGUGCUUAUAAUGGCUCUAUUGGUAACAUUUAACGUCAGAAAUAUUUAAUUUUAGUGAUUAAUAAUAUCAAGAAUAUGUCAUUUUCUGUCUGACAGUCAUGUUGAAUAAAAUUAAGAAUACAUUUUUGA